AAAACUUCCUCAAGAGAGACUGCUCAUAACUAGAAUGCUGUUUAAAAUUAAACUGUUUUUCUAAAACACUGAAAAUAAAAAGCACUUAAAUACAAGAGGUUGGAUGGCUAAUUUAUUUUGUUUUGAGUAUGUUUGACAACUGCAACCAUCAUUAACUUUGCCACCAACCAAAUUGAUAUUUCCCCACCGUAGUUACUUAUAGACUCAUAUAUAUGUAUAUGUGUGUGCAUAAUGCUUUAAAAGUUUUUCCCCCGUUCAAGAAUAUAGGUGAAGAUUUAUGAUAAGUAAAUGGAUGGCUGCAAUAAAUCUGACACUCGUCCUUUGGAGAUUUGGUGUUUUUAACAAGGAAGGAAUGAACACAAAUAGAGUACAAAGAAAAUUAAUGAGAGAACAUAGGUAAGGAAGAGGAUUGGGGAAGGCUUCUUAGAAGAAAUGCAUUUUGGGUUCAGCUUUGAAGAUGAAAAGAAUUCUGAAGGAUGGGGAUGAAUUAUUCAAGCUGUAGGGCAAGAACCAAUGGGAGACCAACCAAGCAAAUCCCAAUAACAAAUCCAACAAAUCCCAAGGAGCCUCUUCUUUGGAACACAUCAGACUCAAGAGAAGAAUGCCAUCUUUUCUUUAUGACAAUAACUUCAACACAAAUAAAAUUAUUCAAACGAGCUUUCAUUUUAUCCCUUAGUCCAUCUUGACUGGUAUUUCUGUUGAUCAAAAAGAUAAAUUUCUGAACAAAGAGCAUGACAUGAUGACUAUUUGGGGAUUUUUAAAAUAUAGAAUGCAGAGCAACAUGAAGAGCAAAAAGGAAGUGACCACAUUUUCCUUAACAUAGAAUUGCUUUAACUUGUGCUAGUCCAGUACUUCUGUGAUCUCAGAUUUUGCAUGUAUGUUAUAUUUGAUUCAAGUGAGUAUUUCUGUAUUUAGAAUUAAUGAAUGUUGUCCUAUAUAGAUGAAUUAUAAAAAUUGUACACGUGCCAGUCUUAGGAACCUAUGAAAUAUCUUGAGACCUGGGUACAAUUAAGGAGGUCAGAAGACAGUUUCUGAUGGGAAGUUUGAAAAGUAAAUUGAAAAAGUUAUCGGAUAUUAACUCCUAUAAUGCAUAAUUAGUAACUACUUUUUCUAUAAACAUCCACAGAAAUGCUUGUGAAAGGGCACAAGGUGUAUCUUUGAGUCCACUGAGAAAUAAGUUUAAAGUGUCUUGAAUUAUUAAAAAAAAUGGAGGCAUGAAACACCUGGGCAGUAGUUAAGGAAAAAUAAAUGAUUUUUACUAUUCA
rnacentral:lncRNA from 1 species